rnacentral:rRNA from 1 species
CAGUAGCCACGGGAAUACGGAGGGUGCGAGCGUUAAUCGGAAUAACUGGGCGUAAAGGGCACGCAGGCGGUGACUUAAGUGAGGUGUGAAAGCCCCGGGCUUAACCUGGGAAUUGCAUUUCAUACUGGGUCGCUAGAGUACUUUAGGGAGGGGUAGAAUUCCACGUGUAGCGGUGAAAUGCGUAGAGAUGUGGAGGAAUACCGAAGGCGAAGGCAGCCCCUUGGGAAUGUACUGACGCUCAUGUGCGAAAGCGUGGGGAGCAAACAGGAUUAGAUACCCCCGUAGUCCCUGUCUCUUAUAC